CCUCAUAGCCUGGUUCCUCUCUAGGUUUCCUCCUAGGUUCCUGCCUUUCUAGGGAGUUUUUUCCUAGCCACCGUUCUUCCACAUCUGCACUGCACUGGUUUCUGUAUAGCACGUUGUGACAUCUGCUGAUGUAAAAAGGCCUUUAUAAAUGCAUUUGAUUUGAUACAGUGCUCUACUUUUGAUCGGGGCCCAUGGUGCUCCGUAGAAGAACACUCAGGGAAAGGGAGCCAUCUUGAAAGCAAGCCACCGCCGUGGCUUUCGUGAAGCGACAGGUAAAUAUGCUUCGUGGGAGGCAGUUUAUGUGUGAAGAGGAUCCUUGGUUUGAUCUCAGAUUGGGGCGCUAAUACUGGAGGCAACACUGUUCACUUCUAAUAUGCGAUUCAACAGCAUUUCAAUUCAAGGGGCUUCAUUGCCAUGGGAACCCUUUGUUUACAUUACCAAAGCAUGUUAUUACCAAAACAGAUAAUAAACAUUGAUAUCUUUGUCUUGUCUUUUACUCAUGUUGUACAUUUAUUGCCAUAAUAAAACAACGUGUCCUAUUUUCACACUAUUGAUUGACAGAUAACAGAAAUAUGCUUAUCAGACUUGAUAUCGAUUGACUCCAUUUGUAAAUAUUGACCGUUUCACCCCCCAAAAUAAGACUGAACUUCUUGAUGCAUAAAAUCCUUAACGUUACUAUGGUGGAGGGUAUAAUUAUAGUAUCAUAUUAUAGCGUCAUGCACUACAAAUAACACAACUGAAAAGACAAAUAAAUUGUAUUUAUUGAGAUAAA